rnacentral:rRNA from 1 species
UACGUAGGGUGCGAGCGUUGUCCGGAAUUACUGGGCGUAAAGAGCUCGUAGGCGGUUUGUCGCGUCGUUCGUGAAAACUCACAACUCAAUUGUGGGCGUGCGGGCGAUACGGGCAGACUGGAGUACUGCAGGGGAGACUGGAAUUCCUGGUGUAGCGGUGGAAUGCGCAGAUAUCAGGAGGAACACCGGUGGCGAAGGCGGGUCUCUGGGCAGUAACUGACGCUGAGGAGCGAAAGCGUGGGGAGCGAACAGG